rnacentral:lncRNA from 1 species
GCUUCGGCUUAUUUAUUUUUUUAAUUAGGUCCAAAGUUUGGAUCGUAACCCUACCCCACCCUAACGGAAAUAUCAGUAAAAAAUGUUCUACGGCAAUACUCUUUUCCACACUAGGUGCAAUGGCAAGCUGAAAAACUAAGGUUUGCUUGACCAUAAAUCUUGGUUGUGCUUUGGCUUAAUGUUUUUUUUUAAUUAGGUCCAAAGUUGGGAUCGUAACCCUACCCCAUCCUUACGGAAAUAUUGAUAAAAAAUGUUCUACGGCAAUGCUUUUGUUGCACUAAAUUUGCCCUUAUAAAUUUUACCAUCCCCUUUUCAUUACGUUCUUGCAAUAUCAAGCUUCCUGUUUGUGUCAUAUAUAGGCAUAUGUAUGUA